GUUCCGUAGGUGAACCUGCGGAGGGAUCAUUACAGAGUUCAUGCCCUACCGGGUAGAUCUCCCACCCUAUGUUAUUAUUACUUUGUUGCUUUGGCGGGCCGUUAGGCUCCGGCCCGACUACCGGCCCCGGCUGGUAAGCGCCCGCCAGAGGACCCAAAACCCUGAAUAUUAGUGUCGUCUGAGUACUAUAUAAUAGUUAAAACUUUCAACAACGGAUCUCUUGGUUCUC
rnacentral:misc_RNA from 1 species